GACGAACGCUGGCGGCGUGCUUAACACAUGCAAGUCGAACGGAAAGCCCCUGCUUUUGUGGGGUGCUCGAGUGGCGAACGGGUGAGUAACACGUGAGUAACCUGCCCUUGACUUUGGGAUAACUUCAGGAAACUGGGGCUAAUACCGGAUAGGAGCUCCUGCUGCAUGGUGGGGGUUGGAAAGUUUCGGCGGUUGGGGAUGGACUCGCGGCUUAUCAGCUUGUUGGUGGGGUAGUGGCUUACCAAGGCUUUGACGGGUAGCCGGCCUGAGAGGGUGACCGGCCACAUUGGGACUGAGAUACGGCCCAGACUCCUACGGGAGGCAGCAGUGGGGAAUAUUGCACAAUGGGCGGAAGCCUGAUGCAGCAACGCCGCGUGCGGGAUGACGGCCUUCGGGUUGGAAACCGCUUUCGCCUGUGACGAAGCGUGAGUGACGGUAAUGGGGAAAGAAGCACCGGCUAACUACGU
rnacentral:rRNA from 1 species